CUUCUCAAGCAAUCCUUUUCCUUUCUCCUUUGUCGUUUCUCUUUGCUGCGGUCCUGCCCAAAUCCCUAAAUUAAAGCUUCAAUCUCUAGCCUCCAGCACCGCCACCCUAAAUUAAAGCUUCAAUCUCUGUCGCCGUUGCCAUGGCUUCGACGGCCAACAGCACUUCGUUGUCCUCCGAGGACCCGAGCAAGAAGGUCCGAAAACCCUACACCAUUACCAAGUGAAGGGAGAGCUGGACAGAACCCGAGCACAAGUCGUUCCUCGAAGCACUCCAAUUGUUUGACCGUGAUUGGAAAAAGAUUGAAGCAUUUGUUGGAUCGAAGAAUUGGGAUGGUGAAGAUGAUUGGAAAAAUAAUGAUUUUGAUAAUGUGAAUUAUGGGGAUACUGAAUUUGAUGAAAAUGAUGACAAUGAUUGGUUAUAAAUUAAUGUAUUUAUGAAUUAUUACGAUACUUGAAAACGAUGAAUUGUUACUAUU